UACGUAGGGUGCAAGCGUUUGUCCGGAAUUAUUGGGCGUAAAGAGCUCGUAGGCGGUCUGUCGCGUCUGCUGUGAAAACUCAGGGCUUAACCCUGAGCUUGCAGUGGGUACGGGCAGACUAGAGUGCGGUAGGGGAGACUGGAAUUCCUGGUGUAGCGGUGAAAUGCGCAGAUAUCAGGAGGAACACCGGUGGGCGAAGGCGG
rnacentral:rRNA from 1 species